ensembl:lncRNA
GGGCCGGGGAUUUAGCUCAGUGGUUUCGCCGCCUGCUCCGCAAGCACAAGGACCCAAGUUCUAUCUCCAGUACCAAAAAAAAAAAAAGAUUUAUUUUAUAAAUAUUUAAGAAAAGUUUUAGAUAUUUGUUGUGGGUCAAAUGACACAGUAACAAUCUGCCUCGAAGUGAAUAUGCUAUUCUCAAGAUUACCACGAGCAUGCUUCCUUCUUAGUUCUAAUUGUUUAAUUUCUAACUUACUUCUUGCCAUAAAAGCAAAUGCUUAUGCAUCAAACUUAUUUGGGCAGCAGUUAACUAAUCUGCAAAGCCAUAACUUACUGCUGUUGCUAAUCCAAAGUGCGUGUGAGCAUUUUCCUGUUACCUUCACAAUGCUCCACUUGGGAAGCCGGAGGAAUGCUACUUUAGGCAAACAAGUUGCUGCUGGGAAUGAGCUGUUUCUUGUCACCUGUUUUAGACUGCUGUCACUUUCCACUCCAGAAGGACCAGAGCCUAAUAACUGGCUUAGCAGUCUCUCUUUGGGGCCUCUCACUUAUCUGUCAGUUUCCUUUCUUUCUACCUUGGGGCAGAUGAAUGCUUUUCUAAAAAAUACUCCAGGUUGCAUGAUUUGCUAGCAAAUUCUUUGUAGAGCUGGAUAAACUUCUGCUUAGAUGUGCCACGGUCAUCAACACUGGAUGUUUACUGAGGCCUACCUGAGAGCUUUAACUUACAUAAGCACAGUGUAUGUACCAUGGAAGCCCCCUUUUUGUAUCUGGUGGUCUCAUCUUGAAUUAGACUAGCUUGUAGACAAUGGUGCAAAAGCAGGCCUAGUACAAAGACACAAGAAAAACAUGAAGAUUCCUGCUCAGUAGGAGCUCACAGGCUAGGAGGAAAAUAAAAUAGAGAGUAAGACACUGUUUGUACAUGGCAGAAGGAGGAGGCUUGGCCUAUAAUAACCCGGGGGGCUCAGAUGAAGCAGCUCUGAGGCUGGGGAUUUAAAAUUCCAAUGUUUAGAGAGGACCUGCUAGGUGGCAUGCCUGGGUGGAGGUGUGGGGAAACCCCAGUGAACAAGCCAAACAUGGCCCUGCUCUCACGGAGCUUACAGUCUAGCAAAACAGACAAACUAGGACUAGAAAGGUCCAGUCCAGUGUGCAGGUGCUGGGUUGGUGAAUAUACCAUAUCUGACAAUACAUGUACUUUACUUAGUUAAACACAAUGGUAUCUGUCUAAAAAGUUAUUUAAAAACAAAACAAAACAGAAAAACAAAAAAACAAUUACAAAUUGCUUAGGCCAUUCCACCUUCCCCACGUUCCUCUGUGAGUCCAGGUAGGCAGGAGGUCCAAGAGGAAUUUUGAUUAUACUCAGUUUGAUCUUAGGCACUGACAUUACGUCAGUAAGACUCCUUCGUGUCAGUAGUGGGACACACACAGAACCUGCACCUUGGCUCUGAACAUUGAGGACUGCUUCCUGGAGAGGCCCCUAAGAGCUCAAGGCUGUGGUGACAGGGGAAGAGGACCAGGAAAGUGUGUCACUGGGAAUGUGCCCUGUGCUGAGUCUGGAAGGUUGGUGAGAUCAAGAUGGAUCCAAGGAGCCAGAAGGUGCAGUGCACACCUCUGGGAGACUGAAGCAAGAGGAUUCCAAGUUCAAGCCCAGCCCGGACAAUUUGUCAACUUAGCAAGACUAUCUUUCAAAAAUUUAAGGGGCUAAAGAUAAUGCUCAAUGCAAAGGGCCUGAGUUCAAUGCCCACUACCCUGGCAUCCCCUCUCCCAAAGAUGGGUGAGCAGAGGACAGGGGAAAGCAGGCCCAGAGGCCAGGUCAUAACCAGCUUUUAUGAGCUGUCAAAGGAGCUUGGACUUAUUCCAAAGGGGAUAAGGAAGCUCUGGAAAGGUUUCGAGCAGUGGAAUAAAAAGAUCAGAUUUACAUUUUUUAAAGUUCAUCCUGAAGCACAUGAAAAGAUGCCCAAUAUCACUGACCAUUAAGGAAGUACAAAUCAAAACCAGAGAUACCAUUUCACAUUUUUAAAAAAGUGUUGCUGAAGAUGUGGAGAAAAUGGAACCUUCAUACACUGCUGACAGGAAUGUAAAACAAUACAGCUGUUUGUUUUUUUGUUUUUGGUACGGGGGAUCGAACUCGGGACCUUGUGCUUGUGCGGGAGGCGCCAGAACCACUGAGCUAAAUCCCCGGCCCCAAUACAGCUGUUUAGGAAAUUAGCCCAGCAAUUUCUCAAAGGAUUGAAGAGAUACUUAUUAGCUGGUCAUGCUGGUGUAUGCCUGUAAUCCCAGCUACUUAGGAGACUAAGGCAGGAUGAUCACAAAUUCAAGGCCAUCCUGUGGAACUUAGUGAAACCCUGUAUCAAAAUUUU